UGGGGAAUAUUGGGCAAUGGGCGCAAGCCUGACCCAGCAACGCCGCGUGAAGGAAGAAGGCCCGCGGGUUGUAAACUUCUUUUAGGAGGGACGAAGAAGGUACGGUACCUGAUGAAUAAGCCACGGCUAACUACGUCACAGUCGCCGCGGUAAUACGUAGGUGGCAAGCGUUAUCCGGAUUUACUGGGUGUAAAGGGCGUGUAGGCGGGAUCGCAAGUCAGAUGUGAAAUUCCAGGGCUUAACCCUGGACCUGCAUUUGAAACUGUGAUUCUUGAGUGAUGGAGAGGCAGGCGGAAUUCCGUGUGUAGCGGUGAAAUGCGUAGAUAUACGGAGGAACACCAGUGGCGAAGGCGGCCUGCUGGACAUUAACUGACGCUGAGGCGCGAAAGCGUGGGGAGCAAACAGG
rnacentral:rRNA from 1 species